UCUGCUUUCCUCUGAAAUCGGUUUUCGUUACGGAGAGAUCGAAAGCUAAUAUGUGAAAUGGCAGGAGAAGCAACAAUGAACUUGAAACAUAACACACAAUAUAUUCGAUUUUCUCCUUUCCAUUGAGUUUGACUGGUUAUUUCAGAGGAUGGGUCGGACGGAGCUUUUCUGAAGUUGUCUCUCUUAAAGGUAAAAAAGAGACCACCUUUGAGUUUUUGUUUCAGUCUGUGAUUAGUCCCAUUGUAUAUAUUUACUGGCUAAAAAUUGAAACUUUACAUGAUUUAUUUUUCUCAAUGUAAUCGAGUAAACAGCCAUGAGAAAGCUUCUUGUUGAUUGUGCUGUUUUUCGUCUCUUUGAAGACAGUGGAUGCAAAAGGAUAGAUCAUUAGCAUUAUUUCAAGGCUACUAGCUAAAUGUUAUAGGAGCACGCAGAUCAAUGUUGUGUAAUUCAAGUUUUCUUAAUAGAAGAUUACUUGAUUUCUCUCUUAAAUUCGCACAAUUAGAAGAGACAAUAACAUUGGACUUAGUGAUGCCUCACUUGGAUAUAUCAUGUAGGAGCAUCUUUUAUGUUCAUAUGAUCUGAACUUUGUCCCUUUGUAGGUGCUGAUUUCUUUGUAGAAAAAAAUUCAAACUCUUUUCAUUGCUCUUUGUUACUUCGAUGGCCUCAAUCACUCGAUGCAGCAAAUUAUUUGUGUUUGCCUUGUUUUGUUUGCUGCAUGUUAUGAUUUCUCUGGAUGGUUUUGGAUGGGAUGUUUACGUUUUGCAAUGUAUAAACUAAUGGUAAAUUUUUUCGUUGACUAAACUGGUUCUAUAGAAUCAAUUCCAAUUUAUCUAAUGAGUAAUCAGUACAACUUCUGUAAAAAACAGAUUUAUCUACUCAAUGAAUUGAUUUUUUAUCAUCUAUAGGAAAGUUUAUAUGUAAUCCAAUCACUCGAAGACAAAAUUUAUACAAUGUGCAAACUGUUUUCCAUUGCAGAUAACUUCAAGUAUGGGGAAAAGAUUGAUUAAGCUUGGAAGAAUGCUUUUCUGUUUUCUUGUCAUCAACUUUUUUUGCUGAGGAACGAUACAUCAGAUAAUGAACCGGAUGAGUUGAUGGGAUAACGAAGCCGUGAAAC
rnacentral:lncRNA from 1 species